CUGGCGUUGACGCACUUGCCUGAGUCCUCGCUGGUCUGCUCUAGGCGGCUGUGCACGUCGUUGGUGUGCAGGAUGGAAUGCUGAGCUGGUGGUGGACCAGGCAAGGGCACCAUGGGAGCUGACAGAGGAGCACCGACCCUGCCUGGAUGGGUCAGAGGAAGCCCCGUGGAAGACAUAAUGCCCACACUGAGCGCUGGAGAACUGGGCUGGUGACUAGUCCUGGUGACAAAAGCAUUCACCACUGCGUCCGCUGCUGCAAGCAUCCUCAGUGAUACCGUCCUCCGUAAAGCAGAUCGGUCCUGCGGUCCUGAAGAGGUGAUGUGUGACCAUUAACAGUUGCUGCUAUGGAUUCCAUAAUUGCUGAAGUCCCUGGAUGAGGCAGGUGCGGUCUAUGAACUCAGAAUGAGUUCUUUUCAGAAUGCAGGCGGGACUUUCCUUGCAACAAAAGUGGGACUCCUACGUGAGGAGUAAAUCUCCACCCAAUGACGGCAGUGGCCAGCCAGCUGAGGCCUGAAUGACAGACUUUCAACAUCAGACUCAACUUCAGGAAAGCACAAGUCCUGGAGACAUCAGGAGAGUAAGGAGCUUCCUUGGGCUUCCAAAUGGUGCUCCAAUGAGAUGAACUGCAGGCACCCAUAGUGCGGCACAAAAAAAAAAAAAAAAAAAAAUCUUGGAAAACAACCUGAGAGAAGAGUAAAAUCCUGAGAUGUCUACUUUUUAAUGGAUGCAGGAUGCCACAUUCCAUUUAUAGUCAUUUUGUUACCAUGACUUCUUGGGCUGCUCUCGGCUGUGGCAACUUUACAGACUUUCCCUGUUUUGAUGGCUUUGGCAGUUUCGAGGAAUACUGACCACUUAUGGACGCAUUCUUCGGAAGGCACAUGUGACCUGGACCAUGUGUGGAGCUCAAGGCUUUUGCUGGGUCUGCUGAGAACGAGCUGUGACCCUUAGAGCUCUUGGCAUCCAUCCUGUACUCAUGAGGGAGAAUCUGUCAAAGCAAAAGCCAGGAUGGAGAAAGGAGGGCAGAGAAACAGAGAAGGAGAAAUCACAUCGCGAUGACAUCAUUUGAGCCCCUGGAUUAAGCGUUGCCUCAAACCAGCCCUACCCUUGAAUAUUUUAUGAGCCAAGAAAUAAAUCAUUUUG